rnacentral:lncRNA from 1 species
UGCAGAUCUCUGUGCUUUUGCUGUCCUGCCUCCUUUUCUAUUAGUUUCCUAUUAUAUUUCAGCUCCCUGCUUGUGCCUGCAUACUCACUCUGAUCUGGGAUCCCUGCCAGCUGCUCCAGCCGUGUCCCAAUGCCAGCUGGGAUGUGUAGGUGCAGUGAUAGGAUGAUGCUCAUAGUACUGGGCAUUUAUUUUUUGACAUUUUGCAGAAAGCAAUUUCUCUGUGAGCUCUCAGCCUCUUCAGGAACAUGCUGUUAAUGGGCUUACUCCCAAAGUGCUGUAACCUGAUGAAGAGGCAAUGGCAUUUCACAAUGUGUACUCCAUUCACAGCUACCUGCUUAAAAUGUGGAAGGUGGAGGGGUGCUUUUGUUUACUGCCUGCAGGUCCAGACCUUGUCUUGGGUACUCAAUGGGGACUUGCUGCAAGAGGACAUGAGUGGAGAUGAGGAGCUUUUGAGGGGAAGGAUCCUAUCCAAGUCCUGCCAGCUGCAUCACCCAUCAAGAGGCUUUGGCACACAGGCUGCAGUUACCAGCCCCAGCCUUAAGCUGCCUGCACAAGCAGAAGAGGACAGUGUGUCACUGGAGCAAUGUUUCUGGUUUUACUCUGG